rnacentral:rRNA from 1 species
GACGAACGCUGGCGGCGCGCUUAACACAUGCAAGUCGAACGGAAAGGCCUGCUUUCCUUUGUGGAUUGCGGGUACUCGAGUGGCGAACGGGUGAGUAACACGUGAGUGAUCUGCCCCCAACUUGGGUAUAAGCCUGGGAAACUGGGUCUAAUUCCCGAUAGGACUGCAGGGUGGUGCCUGUGGUGGAAAACGAUUUUCUAGUGGUUGGGGAUGAGCUCGCGGCCUAUCAGCUUGUUGGUGGGGUAAUGGCCUACCAAGGCGGCGACGGGUAGCCGGCCUGGGAGGGUGGACGGCCACAUUGGGACUGAGAUACGGCCCAGACUCCUACGGGAGGCAGCAGUGGGGAAUAUUGCACAAUGGGCGGAAGCCUGAUGCAGCGACGCCGCGUGGGGGAUGACGGCCUUCGGGUUGUAAACUCCUUUCGACCGCGAGGAAGCCACCUGGUUGGAAGGGUGGUGACGGUAGUGGUAGAAGAAGCACCGGCUAACUACGUG